ensembl:lncRNA
GGCCUUUUGCCUUGCUGCUCCUAGGGCUGCCUGGGGAGCGUGGCCCCCUGUAACGGAGGGCGAGAGCCACCUCUCCGCACCUGAGUGGGAAAUGGAGCUCGCCGGACCCCAAGGCCACCCUGUAAGCAGGGUAGUGCCGUUUCCCUGCCCCUCUUCCUCCCCCGGCCCCUCGGCAUCGUUGCCUGAUGGUGGCUUGUCAACGCGACGGCCCCGUACUCGGGGUGUGCGUCACGGCUUUUGGCCGCUGGCUUUACCUGAGAAGCCCCUUGGCACGUUGAGGUCUGUGGCCUCCGUGCAGCCUAGGGACAGGUCACAGGCUCUUGUCUGUUGCCCGUGGUUGUGGGUUUAUUCCCAGGUGUUGGCUGUGCUGCGUUGUCCUUCCCUUCUGGAAAGUCGUGCCUGUGUGUGCGUGUUCCCCUUCCUUUCCUUGUUUGUGUUUGUGGAGUGGUUGAGCGGCUGUGCUUUCCCUUUAGGCCUCCACAAAGAUGGCUGCAGCUUAGCUUUGACUUCCCGGGGGGGAAUGGAGGACUUUGGUGCAUGCCGCAAAAGGGGUGUUCCCUCUUAGUCCUGCGAGCGCAGCGAGUGUCCUGUCUUCCUACUAUUUUCCUUAGUGCAGAUCAGAGCCACACGGUAGUUCUGUGGCCAAGGCCUCCCUGUAGCCAGGGCUUGGGCCUGUCCUUGCGUGGCCGCCUGUCCUGCUGGCGGCGGUGACAGCCCCGUACUCGGGGUGUGUGUCCCAAGCUUCGGAGCCCUCUGUCCCUGAGCAGCCCGCCCGCCCUGUAAUCAGGUGUGGGGAGGCUGCAGCGUUGCAGCCGGCUGCUUUAGCCAUCCAGCUGGUGGGAGUGACCCCUCCCUGUCCCGUCAGAGGGUGCAGGUUGAGGUGCUGUUUGUGUGUGGGGUGACCUCCCCGCUCGGUGGGUCGAGGUAGCUCCCUGGGCUUCCAAAGACGAGACGUUGGUGAUGUUCUGCUGCUGCCGGGCGGGCCAGCCUGUAGCUCAGGCGUUGGCGGGAGCCUCGUGCUCCGCGGGGCUUCUUGAAGAGGGUGAGGUGCUGUUUGUGUGUGGGGUGACCUCCCCGCUCGGUGGGUCGAGGUAGCUCCCUGGGCUUCCAAAGACGAGACGUUGGUGAUGUUCUGCUGCUGCCGGGCGGGCCAGCCUGUAGCUCAGGCGUUGGCGGGAGCCUCGUGCUCCGCGGGGCUUCUUGGAGAGGGUGAGGUGUGGGGUACCGUCCUGUAGGCAGGGCUGUGUGUGCCCCCCGUGUGUGCUUGGUGAGCUGCGUUCUGAGAGACCCCCUGUACUCAGGUGGGAAUGUGGCCCCGGCCUUUCAGAGGCGCGGGCCGUGAGAUGCGGGGUGGGGCUUGCGCCCUCCCUGGAAUCGGGGCUGGGAUCCCGACUGCGGCCUUUGGCCGUGCCGCCCCGCUGCCUGGCUGCUGAGAGUUGCUCCUGCCGCUGGGGGGGAAACCGAGCUCUGUGGCUCCAGGGGUGUUGUCCACCCGCCUGUAAUCAGGGUCUGGGUGCGCGAGCGUUUGUGCUCUGCUGGCAGCCUGUGUGGGGUGACCGCCCCGCUAGCGGGGUGUGGGUCGAGGUGCCCCGGACUGGGAGAGAAGGAGCCUCCCUCGGCCGUAGGGAUGGGGGCUGCCCUGUAAGUCAGGGAGCAUCUGUGUCCCGGAGUCCCAGGCCCUUUUCAAUGGCGGCAGUGGCCGGGGGUCCCCUGUAAGCAGGGAAGCUGACUCUUUGGCUGCUGCUUUUUGUGUGCCCAGCCCCAUUUGCCCAGUCUGCCCGCCUCUGUGAUCCCCCGCAGCACUGGCUGGAAGUCCGCCGCGUGUCAGUGAGGAGCUGCUGCAGAAGGAAGAAGAAGAAGCGGCGUGGGGACCUGGGAGGCAGGAGCAAGCAAGAAGAGGAAGCGGAAGCGUGCAGAUGCGGGGGGGAAGGAGAGAGGCUCCCUGGGCAAAGCACCUGUCCCGUUAGCAGGGGCACAGUCACGUUUGAGUUGAGAGCUGCCGGCGCCUUUGGUGACCAGGCUGGCGUUGUGCUGGGCGACCUCCCCGUAAGCGGGGCUCGGGUCUUUGCUGUAGUUGGCCUUUUGCCUUGCUGCUCCUAGGGCUGCCUGGGGAGCGUGGCCCCCUGUAACGGAGGGCGAGAGCCACCUCUCCGCACCUGAGUGGGAAAUGGAGCUCGCCGGACCCCAAGGCCACCCUGUAAGCAGGGUAGUGCCGUUUCCCUGCCCCUCUUCCUCCCCCGGCCCCUCGGCAUCAUUGCCUGAUGGUGGCUUGUCAAUGCGACGGCCCCGUACUCGGGGUGUGUGUCCCAAGCUUUGGAGCCCUCUGUCCCUGAGCAGCCUGCCUGCCCUGUAAUCAGGUGUGGGGAGGCUGCAGCGUUGCAGCCGGCUGCUUUAGCCAUCCAGCUGGUGGGAGUGACCCCUCCCUGUCCCGUCAGAGGGUGCAGGUUGAGGUGCUGUUUGUGUGUGGGGUGACCUCCCCGCUCGGUGGGUCGAGGUAGCUCCCUGGGCUUCCAAAGACGAGACGUUGGUGAUGUUCUGCUGCUGCCGGGCGGGCCAGCCUGUAGCUCAGGCGUUGGCGGGAGCCUCAUGCUCCGCGGGGCUUCUUGAAGAGGGUGAGGUGUGGGGGUACCGUCCUGUAGGCAGGGCUGUGUGUGCCCCCCGUGUGUGCUUGGUGAGCUGCGUUCUGAGAGACCCCCUGUACUCAGGUGGGAAUGUGGCCCCGGCCUUUCAGAGGCGCGGGGCCGUGAGAUGCGGGGUGGGGCUUGCGCCCUCCCUGGAAUCGGGGCUGGGUUCCCGACUGCGGCCUUUGGCCGUGCCGCCCCGCUGCCUGGCUGCUGAGAGUUGCUCCUGCCGCUGGGGGGGAAACCGAGCUCUGUGGCUCCAGGGGUGUUGUCCACCCGCCUGUAAUCAGGGUCUGGGUGCGCGAGCGUUUGUGCUCUGCUGGCAGCCUGUGUGGGGUGACCGCCCCGCUAGCGGGGUGUGGGUCGAGGUGCCCCGGACUGGGAGAGAAGGAGCCUCCCUCGGCCGUAGGGAUGGGGGCUGCCCUGUAAGUCAGGGAGCAUCUGUGUCCCGGAGUCCCAGGCCCUUUGCGUUGGAGGCAGUGGCUGGGGGCCCCCUCUAAGCAGGGAAUCUGUCUCUUUGGCCGCUGCUUUUUGUGUGCCCAGCCCCAUUUGCCCAGCCUGCCCGCCUCUGUGAUCCCCCGCGGCACCGGCUGGAAGUCCGCCGUGCAUCUUUGAGGAGCUGCUGCAGAAGGAAGAAGAAGCGGUGUGGGGACCUCGGCUGCAAAAUCAAGAUGGGGUAUCUGUUGACUGUUUUUCUUGUAAUUCUUUGCCUUUUGGAGCCACAGUUUUGAACGGUUGUGUAAGACUUUAUCACUCUUUUUGUCAGCGUCGUCAGCUGUGAAUAAAGUUUUUUUUCCAUGUUGUUUUUCCUGUUA